CGGGUGAUGAAUCUGAGGAGGACGAGCAGGAUUGGGAGACUUUUGUUCCUGAAGUUUUAGCUAAGGAAAAGGACGCUGGGAAAGGCAAGGGAAAAGGAAAAGCUGUGGAUAAAGGCAAAGGAAAAGCAACUGAACGUCCCAGUCGUCGUCAGUCCGGGGGUGUUGAAAUUCGAGAACCAGGCUCUGAACCACCACGUCGCAGUCUACAGGAUGUUCCAUCUAAUCGACGGUCAAUGUAUUCGUCGAAACACUGCAUUGGUGAGCGAGAUGUUGGGGUGGCCAGUAUUAUUAGUUGUGUGCCGGGUUUUCAGGAUUUGUUUGAACAGGGGAAUCUUCAUCAGAUUUGUGAUUUCCCGGAGCAUACCGGUUAUUGUUUGGAGUUGAUCAGAGAAUUUUACAUGAGAGCAGGUCACCUCAGUGACUCCGACGGGGGUCCGUACGUGUUUAAGACUUCUGUCCG
rnacentral:lncRNA from 1 species